UGCGGUGCGGUUACUCACAGGGCCUAGCCCAGAAGCCAGCUGAUGCUGUUGCAUUGGAUUAGUCAUUUUGCUGGCCCGAACAUAGCCACCUGUAAGCUGGAACUUCCUUACGGCAGCCUGUCACUUCCACGGGACCCACCAGCUUAAAUGCCGGCAGCCCUGGGACUUCUGGCCUCACAAUGGUUGAGUCUGGGUGGCCCAGUAAACAUGAGGAAGAGAUGCCUGUACCUUCUGGAUGCUCCCGCUGAAAGGCUUCAGGACACCCGAGUUCUUCUUCACAUCAUCAUAAUUGGGGACUCCGCCAAUGAAAAUGUCUGUGUUGCACUUAAUCUGUGUGAAGCCUCCCUGCCAAAAGAUUAAAAACAAAGCAUUGUAUGACUUUAAAACAGAUGUUCAAAAUGAUCAAAUGUGUCUUCAGUUCCCUGUUGGGGAACAAAAUGGUAGACAGAGCCUAGAGACCCAUCAUGACAAUCUGUCUACACAAGGGCUUCACUUUCACAGUGUUUCUCAUUGCUCCUUACCACCUGCCUGAAUGUUGGUGAACGUCUUAAAGUCUCUGAGACUUCAUUUCAUUGUC
rnacentral:lncRNA from 1 species